rnacentral:lncRNA from 1 species
CGCCAGUAAUUAAAUGAUGUGUCGGAUAUAAUUUAUCCAACAGGAUUUUCUAAUAUCCGUCACCAUCAUCCGCCACCUAAAGCUAAUAUUGUAGCAGUGGAAGACACAAUGACAUAACGGGAAUCUACAAAUUUGGUGUAUGAGCUCCAUUUUGGGCACUUGAUACCUUUCUGAAAAGAGUGCGAUCUGUCAUUUCAAACUCACUACUAUGUUGUGAGAUAUAAUGGAUUUUAGCCAUCCGAGAUCAUUUAGACUUUCAAAACUGCAUUUUAAAGUUUGAAAUAGAAAUCAGACUUUUCAUUUAACAUCCGAUUCACUUCUUUACAUUUCCCAAGACUUCUUUUACAUUCCCUAAGACUCCACUAAGCUACUCAAGGAUCGAGUUAAGUCUACUUAAGCCUUAUUACUGUUAUUCUAAUCAUCAUUUCAGAAUUAAUCAAUUAUCCUUUUGGGUUUUCUCUCAAACUUUGGUGUACUCUAGCAACUUGAUUCUUCGAGUGCAUACGUUUGUAACCCUCUACACUCAUGCUGCGUCAAGAACACAACCAAGAUUAAACAUGAACACUAAAAAAACCAGUAUUCAACGCAGUUCACCUCCACAAAGUAUAAAGCAUGUUUCUCAUAAAAGUAACCUGUCUUUUGACUCUUAUUGAGUAUUUAUGUGCCUACCUACUUGUCCUAUUUUUACACUCAUCUUAUCACUAAAGAUAAAUGACAUUAAUCUAAAGUAGAUUAUGAAUAACUUAUUUUUUUUCACCCACCUAUUACUGGAUAGAGAAAUUGUGACGACCCGUCCCUCAUUUUCCUAUGUAAUUUCUCUCCGAGUAUGUGUUUUGACGACUAUGCCUUACUGGCAAGUGACGUGGACUUAUUCUUAUCGCUUUCCAUUUUAUUUCUCGCUAUCGCAUUUAAAUUGUACAUGCUAGUACGAGUAGACGUAGAUUUUAAAGUGUAAAAAUAUCUACUUCGGAUAGAUUUCGAUUUCCUUUUACUGUAGGAAAUAUAGAAAUCUAUCCCUUGGAUUCCUUUUAAAACCCAUCCCGUGCACUCUCUGCAGCACUCCACUUUCAGCUAUUCAAUCCCAUCUUUUCUGUAUGUUUUGUCCCCCCUCUAUCAGAAAAAGCAAAGAAAAUUUGAAAACUUCUUUCUUCUUUCUUCCUAUCCCGUGAGCUCUCUCUCCCUCUGCAACUCCAUGAGCAAGCUCCAACACUCAUAGAUCGAACAAACAAACUACAUCAUCAUGCUCAUCUCAGCCCCACGAUCACGACCAUACCCCUGGUUCGCGUGUUGACCGAGUUUUGACCGUCCAACUCGGAAGGUUCGACUCGGUGAGUUCGAUACUACGGUUUUCAAGCCAUGCAUGGCUAAGGUAAGCCUUAAGAAACCCUUAGAACCUUCAUUUCACUUCUAUGGGUUGUUAUUGAUCCUUUGUUUGUGUUUUGAACGUGUGGUUUUACCCAGAAACUCGAGAAAAAGGAGAACCCGAAGUUUUUCGUACAAGAACCGUGGCCAUUUAGUCAUUUUCAAACCAUUUUUCUGGUCAACCUCGACCACAACUGGACUUCUUCUAGGUACAAACUUGUUCUCUACAUUCCUAACUUCAAAAUGGCUUUUGAAUCACUGAGUUUGGUUAAGUAACGAGUUAGAAAUCAACUCUGGAAGUUGGCAAGAAAAUUUUAGUUUUCUGGAAAAUUUUAGCCGUGGUCGUUUGGCCACUUUCAGACCAAAUUUCUGAACCACACGGACUAUAUUCGAACUUUCUGUAAAUUGGGAUCGGUAGAUCACAUUCCUAGCUUUACUUUGGCUUUUGUAGAAGUGAAUUUGGUUGAGAAUCGAGCUUGUAAUGGGCUCUGGAAGUUGACCCAAAAAUCUGCAAAACUGCAGAUUUUCGCGAAGAAGGCGAGUACAGUGUACUCCCGGGGGCGCG